rnacentral:rRNA from 1 species
AGAACGAACGCUGGCGGCAGGCCUCAAACAUGCAAGUCUAGGGGGUGUAGCAAUACAUCACCGGCGGACGGGUGCGUAACACGUGGGAAUAUACCUUUUGGUUCGGAACAACGCAGGGAAACUUGCGCUAAUACCGAAUGUGCCCUUACGGGGAAAGAUUUAUCGCCAAAGGAUUAGCCCGCGUAGGAUUAGCUAGUUGGUGAGGUAAUGGCUCACCAAGGCUCCGAUCCUUAGCUGUUCUGAGAGGAAGAUCAGCCACACUGGGACUGAGACACGGCCCAGACUCCUACGGGAGGCAGCAGUUGGGAAUCUGGACAAUGGGGAAACCCUGAUCCAGCCAUGCCGCGUGAGUGAUGAAGGCCUUCGGGUUGUAAAACUCUUUCGACGGGACGAUAAUGACGGUACCCGUAGAAGAAGCUCCGGCUAACUUCGCGCCAGCAGCCGC